rnacentral:lncRNA from 1 species
GUAACUGACCUCGAAAUAUGGUAUAAAAGCCACUCUAUACUUCAAUUUCUCCAGAUCUGCUUGCUCCAGACAGAACCUUCUCAAAAAUGAAAUCUGUAAUUGCCAUUUUCCUUUUGGCUUUGGUAGCCACUGCUUUGGCAGGAUAUCUCGGCUACGGCGGUCCAUUUGGCUAUGGCUACGGUUACGCAUACCCAACCAGCACUGUUGUUUACAGUUCAAGCGCAUAUGGAUUCAGACCUUAUGGAUUCGGAUAUGGAUAUGGUCCAUAUGGUUAUGGAUAUGGAUUAGGAUACGGAGGUUACGGAUACGGUUUGGGCUACGGAAGAUUCGGCUACGGUUAUGGUUUGGGAAAAUAUUGGUAAAAAAAAAAAUAUCGAUGUCUGAAACCUUCAAUCUGUAAAAUAUUUUCGGACAAACUUUGUACAUUAACUAUCAUUUUCUUGUAAUUAUAAAAAAAAACCUAAUGUAAAAAAAUAAAAUUUACAUUUCCUUCCUCUAAAAUUUGUAUUCUUUGAGAACUUUUCGAUAUUUUUAUAACUAUAAUAUGAUAAUUUAUAUACACAUAUAUAAAAUCGGUUUUAGAUAAACUUAUCGAAACCUUUUCUCUCUAGAACAAACUUCGUUUAACAAUAAUUGUCUGAAGAAGAAAUUGCUAUUAUCAUGGAAUAAUGUAAUUAUAUACAAGAUCAAAAAGCGAAGAAAAUUUUUCACCUAAAACAUGAGAGAGAGAGAGAGAUAUUUAAAGUAAAUGAGUACGUUAUUUAUGUGUUAAAAGGUUAUAAUAAAAACUAUGAUAUAAACAUCGUAAUACAUAUUAGUCUAUGCGCUCUCCAAACACAAAUAAAAAGGAUGCC